rnacentral:rRNA from 1 species
AUGCAUGUUGAUGGUAACACCAUCUCCUUUGAGCCAGCUGAGAACCAUGGCCGUUCCACCGCUCUGUUCGAGGAUGAUCUCACGGAGUUGGAGGCCAUUGGCUUCCCUCUUGAGCUCUGGCACCCUUUGGGUGUUCAUUUCGUCCUCAACUUUCUUGGUGAAAUCUUCUCCAUCGACCAGUACUGCCUCCUUUCCAAUGAGCGCACCUCCAUUAGGGAUCAUGUCGCCCUAUUCAAGGGCACCUCUCUGCCUGAUGCUCUCACUGUCCAGCUUCCUAAUCUCGACAUCCUAGUUGUCCAGCUGCACGAGCACGGGAAGGUCACCCGCAUCGGCCCAAGUGACCCUUCCCCCUUCUCCUCUGAUGGGGACUCGGACUCCGCUUUGGACUCGACUUCCGACUCGGACUCCCCCACCCCAUAUCCCUCUAUUGGCCUUCAGUGUGUUGCGGCUGCCAUGGCAACGUUUGGCCCCUUCACCGUCUCACCGGAGUUCCCCCAGGGGCCGCCUCCUUUGCCUUCAAGAAACGCUUUGCUUGCCGCUGACGCCUUUGUUGAGCUUGCCAUCAGCUCAUCUGAUGAUGAUGUCCCUCUUGCCAGGAUCGGCUUGGCUCCUCCAGUCCUUUUGGAUUCCAUCUUGUCCGAUAUCCCGGCUGAUCCUACAGAACACGAGUUGCCUCUAAUCACCUCGCCGGAUCACUACAUGCCCGACCCCGCUCCUGCACCUGCUGCUUCCGAUGGCACGGCCAUCUUGACGACGGUGCCUCACGCUGCCUCGCCGGUGGUUUACUCUUGCCGUCCAAGGGCGGUUGUGGCGCCGGCGCUGCCCUCCCUGCCGGCCUUGGAUCUGGAAGCUGAGCAUGUGGUGCACGAGGCCGUCACCAAGAAGGGACGUGCCUGCCGCAGGCGUGCCAGCUCUAUUCUGCACAUUAGGCGGAGUGCUCGGCUCGCCGAGAUGGAGCCAUACAAGAAGGAAACCAUGCAGGAUAAGGCGUCCAAGGCCAAAGCCAAGUGCAUGGAGCUGGGCAACUCUGCGCGUGAUUUCGACGAUGUUGUGAGCUCUGCUCGCCUGUACCCCGAUGAUGUUCAGCCUGGCUCCCCCCGCGCUCUCGCCGCUCUGGCCAUCGAGUGUGGCUCUUCUCCUCAUGAGGCUGAGUCUGUGGCCUCCUCUGCUGGUGCCGUGGCCAAGUGA